UCGGCAUUGAUCUGGAUGACGCGGUCGGGCGAGCGGGCGAGCACAUCGAGCACGAUGCGGCCAAUACCGGCGGCCGGAUUGAGUACGGACGGGAGAGGAACGCACUCUGGUUUGGAUGGACACACACUUUAACGACCGGACACAGCGACGGUCACGGAGCAACUGAUCGUAACGGCGCACCGCUUAUUCGCUUAUCAGCUGCGAGAUGAGGCGCACACUACAGUCUUGCGCAAGUCAUGAUAGAGCCGACACACACUCCUGCAAACGUGCGUAAUGACGAACGUUGGUAGGAGGAAGGUCACAAACGGGAACACUGGGGAUUGUGUGUGAGUGUGUGUGUUUAGUUAUAGAUUUUUGCGCAAUCAAAGUGACCCAUGACGAAAAGCGAGAAAGGGAAUACGCGGGUAAAAAGGGAUGACAGUUGGGCCAUCAUCUGGGGCACAGUUACACAAUCCCUUCAUCAUCAUCAUCAAAACAAUAACUGAUGCGCGUUUUGAUGCAGUUUUGAAUGGGAGAGAUGAUGAUAAUAUACGCCUUCAAGUGAGCUGAAUGUACGAGGCACAGUAAAUGAUAAAUUGCUUGCAAUAACAAGGCUUUUUUUGCACGUGUUUUUGCUUAAACCUGUUUGAUUAGUGAUAAACGAACGGUAACCUCUCGCUCCGGGAAGGGCUAUUUUUAAAAACCGGGCCGUUUGUGUCGUGAAGCCCAGCGAAGAGGUGAAUUUAACACACGAAAAACAUCGGCAAAAAUACAAUCUUAUUUUUUUGCAAAUUUGCAAUGUGAUAUUAUCAUUUUUAAAAAUUAUAACAAAGCAGUUAAUACUAAAAAAACACCCGUUCCGAAUUAAUGCUUCAUCGUAUCAUUUCGUAUAUUGUAUUCUUGGUUUUGUUUUACUGCGCACCAACCUCAUUUUAUCAUUUCUUCAUUCUUCUUUUCCCCCAUCCCCACUCGUGUCGCCAAAAAUUGCGAGUUAGUUGUAAAAAGAGAGAGAGAGAGUGGGAGAGAUUCAGCGAAAGUUGUUAAAUUUUCUAAUGUUUUUUUGUUCCAGUCCAAUCCAAUUUUGCUUUCAUAUUUGCCAAUUUCACAAACAACGGACGCGGGCGAAAAGGGGUUGUGAAAUGUUUUUUUUUUGUUUGUUAAGCUAUUAUUAUACUCUAUCGCUCUAAUUCUCUUCUUCUAAUGUUAGUGUGUGUGUGUGUGUAGGGGGCUUUUCCUUUCAAUGUUGUUUUCUUUUUGUAGUUUUUUUGUUUACUGUUACUGAAGUACUAAAGAGAAUUGAAUAACGAGUUUUUUUGUGUAAUGCUUUGCGGGCUUUUUCUUCUUUAUAUUCCUGUUGCUCUGUUUUGUAACCUAUAACAGAGUUGUUUUCAACAUGUGUUCUCAUCUCUUGUUCUACUCUAUACUUGGCUCUUCUAAGAGGGUGUUUUACCACUUUUUAAUGCAAUGCUACUCUCCGUUUCUCUUUUGUUUUCGCUUUUGUAGUUCGCAAUCUGUACUAAACGUUUUUUGUUGUUGUUGUUAAAGGGUGAUUAAAUUCUCUGCAAUAUUAUCUAUAGGAGUCGUCUAUUACUAUCAACUUGUGUGUGUGGUUCGAUACUUUAACGAGCUUUCGUUUUGUCGAAGGAUAAGAAAGGAGGGGGGGGGGGGG